GGGGAUAUUGCACAAUGGGGGAAACCCUGAUGCAGCGACGCCGCGUGAGUGAAGAAGUAUUUCGGUAUGUAAAGCUCUAUCAGCAGGGAAGAAAAAAGACGGUACCUGACUAAGAAGCCCCGGCUAACUACGUGCCAGCAGCCGCGGUAAUACGUAGGGGGCAAGCGUUAUCCGGAUUUACUGGGUGUAAAGGGAGCGUAGACGGCAAUACAAGUCGGAAGUGAAAUACCCGGGCUCAACCUGGGAACUGCUUUGGAAACUGUAUGGCUGGAGUGCUGGAGAGGUAAGCGGAAUUCCUAGUGUAGCGGUGAAAUGCGUAGAUAUUAGGAGGAACACCAGUGGCGAAGGCGGCUUACUGGACAGUAACUGACGUUGAGGCUCGAAAGCGUGGGGAGCAAACAGG
rnacentral:rRNA from 1 species